CUCCAAUCCACAUAGUGCUGAGGCAGUGAAGUUUGUGUUCCAGGAACUUCAGAAUUCCUGAAUGUAUUGGGGUUGAUAAAAGGUAGAAAUCGCCUUGUGACCCAACAGCAGCCAAUAAGAUGGAAAUAAAGGCUACGAAAUUAUCAGAAGGCAUCUACAAGGAAUACUUAGAUGAGGAGGUGACUCUGGUGGCAGUUGUUCUUUUGUCUUUCUCACCUUCCUUCUUGUCCUGUCUAGGAUGCUGAAGUGAUGGCUGGUAUACAGAUGCCCUGUUGUGAUGUUGAGAUAAACAUGAGAAUAAAAGUCCGCGAUUACAGAUGGCAGAGAAGAGACAGAAAGAUAGGAUGUAGGUGGAUAUUGAUGGAACUAAGUUUCUAUUACACAAGUUCUACCACUAACCUCUGGACUUCAUGAUAUGUGAGGGAGAAAUAAACUCAUAUUUUAGAAGAGAUCUAUGUUACCUGCAACUGAACGGAAUGCCUAAUUGGCACAUCCUAUGUGCUCCAAACCUUCCUUAAUUUCUAUGUGUAAGGCAUACUCAGUCUUUACCCAUUAUUCUGUUCACAUCCAUUCACUCAAUCAGCCUCCCAACUCUUUAGUAAAGAGUUUACUAUAGUUUACUCUAUUACUAAGGCAGAUUCUGGAGCAAGCCCCACAAAUCAUAGAUUGAAUAUCCAUUCAUUACAAGAGAGAGAUUUAAAGAUACUUCUAUCCAAACACAUUUUAAAU